rnacentral:rRNA from 1 species
GACGAACGCUGGCGGCGCGCCUAACACAUGCAAGUCGAACGGAGCUGAGAGAAGCUUGCUUUUCUUAGCUUAGUGGCGAACGGGUGAGUAACGCGUGAGUAACCUGCCCUGGAGUGGGGGACAACAGUUGGAAACGACUGCUAAUACCGCAUAAGCCCACGAUCCGGCAUCGGAUUGAGGGAAAAGGAUUUAUUCGCUUCAGGAUGGACUCGCGUCCAAUUAGCUAGUUGGUGAGGUAACGGCCCACCAAGGCGACGAUUGGUAGCCGGACUGAGAGGUUGAACGGCCACAUUGGGACUGAGACACGGCCCAGACUCCUACGGGAGGCAGCAGUGGGGGAUAUUGCACAAUGGGGGAAACCCUGAUGCGGCGACGCCGCGUGGAGGAAGAAGGUUUUCGGAUUGUAAACUCCUGUCGUUAGGGACGAUAAUGACGGUACCUAACAAGAAAGCACCGGCUAACUACGUG